rnacentral:lncRNA from 1 species
AUUUUGAAAUAAAUAAUAUUAAUUAAAACGUGGCAGCUACUGAGAUAAAUGUGUCAAAUAUCAUCACUUUAUUAACUAUGAACUCCUUUUAUUAUCUCAUACCUCUUAUUUUAGAUUUAAGAAGAUAACCUAUUUUAUCAAAAAUAAAAUGUUUAUGAGAGAAGUUAUAUUUUCUUAGUUUGUUCUUGCUUGUCUGCCUUGAGCAAUUUUAUUCUAGUAUGAAAUGAAAUAUGUCUAGUUAUAAUUCUUGUUGAAUUUUAAUGUUUUUUUUCGGUGUAUUAAACCAUCUGGUAUCCGAAGACCACAUUGGGUCCCGACUAAUCGAGAUUCGAGCCGGGUAAGACCACUACGACGGCAAAGCUCUUCCAAUAAGUAUUUAAUGCAAUUAUAUUCUCAAGCCUCGAAUUGAUGACCUUAAUUAAGUUAGAACAACCUCAUGCCAGUUGAUCUACGUACUUGUUAGUAAUUUUAAUGUAUUUCUUUUGGCCUAUAUACAUAUAUAUGUAUACAUAUGUGCGUGCACCCACACACACACACACACACUAAAUACACAUUAAGGGUGAGCGUUCAGAUCGAGUUGUACCUUAUAACCCAUUUGGGUUGUAUUUCGGUUUGGGUUCAACCCGAACCGAAUAACCAACCCGAACGGGUUAACUAACAAAUAAAAAAAAUUUAAAAACACUUUUGUAACCCUAACUAUCACAAUUCACACACACACACUUCUCAUCCUCAGCCACCGCCUUCACUUUUCCUCUGCUUGUCCUCUUCUUCUUCUUUUUUUCUUUUCCUCUUUUUCUUCCGUCACUGCCAAAUAUCAUCUUCUUUUCUUCUUCUUCUUAUUUUCUUUUUCUUUUUCUUCUUCUUUAGUUCUUUUUCUCUUUUUCUUCUUCUUUAGUUCUUUUUCUCUUUUUCUUCUUCUUUAGUUCUUUUUGUCUUUUUCUUCUUCUUCUUCUUUCCUUCCGCCACCGCCCAAACAUCUUCUUCUUCUUCUAUCCUUCGCUGCUGCCAAAAAUCUUCUUAUUCUUCUUUUCCUCCUCCACUAUCGAAUAUUUAUUCUUCUUUUUCUGAUUUCCCAUUAAUUAAUUUUUAGUAAUUAAUUUUUUAUUCUUAGUUAAUUUUUUAAUUUUAUUUUGUCAAGUGUUGUUAAUUUUUUUUUUGUUAAUUGUUAAAUAUAAAUUUGUUUAUGUAAUUUAGUUAAUUUUUUGAGAUUAUGAGAAAUGUAAAAUUAGGGUGUGUAAUUUAAGUCAACUUGAAUUUGUAAUCCGAACCGAUUCAAUUUGGUUUGGUUCGGGUUUAUAAUUUGAACCCGUUUAGGUUGAAUUCUCCAAAUUAAAUGGGUUGAAACCUAAAACGAAACUCGAACAACCCAAACCGAAAUUUGAUUUGCCCACCCCUAAUACACACACACAUUCAAGGGUUGAUGGUGGGUUCUAGUUGUCAAAUGGAGAGAAAAUCUUGUGGCCACUGUAGACAAUCCAUUUAACUAGUGAGAAUAAAUAACAUAUGUACUUUUAUCAAGAUAUAACUAUUCAUCAUUUGUUUAGUUGUUUUUUUCUCAUAGACACCUCUCUCUUAAAUCAUAGUUGCUUUUGGUCAUUUUCGCUUGUAGACCUAGCCUAAGAUGGGUCCAAUUUAUGUAUGCUCAAAAUGGGACUCAAUAAUAUUCGGAUAUCCUAUAAUAGAGUUAAUCUAUAUUGUAUAUGAUAGUGUUAUUUAACAAAAUAACAGUACUUCAACAAGAGGGCAAAAAAAAAAAAAAAGGUAAAAAGACCCUUCUGACUUCCUUGCCAUAACCACGUAGAUAUUAAUCUAGGUUUCUAUCAAAUACAUGUUUAAUGUAAUGUCCGAGUUUUUUUUUUUAGGGAAAAUUUCACAAAUUUAUAAAUAUAUGCAAUCUAAAUUUACUAAAACUUUAUAUACAUACAUUUGUAGUACAACCCAAAGGUCUGACGAGCAAUAAUCUCAAAAAUCUAAUUUGACUAAUAUGCGGAGAGAAAUCAAUCUUUAUUUAAACGGAAUGAGCUCCCUCAACAUAUGUCAAGCACAUAGUACCAUUCCGCUAUGAGCCAAAUGGCAUGUAAUGUCAGAGUUAAAAGAAGAUAAAUAUGAUUGGUCAAUUGGUCUACCAACCGUUGAAGUUUUUAGAAAGAGAUUUCACGAAAAGCGAAAAGCCAUGCACUCACUGGCCACUGCAAAAUUUUUCACUUUAGAAUCCCAGAACAUGCGGGUUAGCUAGAGAUGAGCUUAUGAUUAUUGAAGAAGACAAGUUGAGAGUGGUGGUCCAUAUCCAACGGACAUUCAACAUAUAUACUUAUCCACCCAACGGGUGUUUUGGAAUGAAAAAAGUCUUUUGAAAAUUCCUUAAUUACUUGUCACACUCUUAAUUAAUUUACUAGAUCGCCCUCUUCUUGAUCUUCUCAGAAAUUGACAAGUGUUGCUCAUGUUCUCUCGCGCCUGCGUGCCUUGCCCCUUUCAUCUACGUAAUAAAGCAGGAACCAUAGUCAUAAAGCAUAACUGCUUUCACACCUCAAUCAUCAACUCUCUAAAGCCCUAGCUAGUAGCUACUUAAUUGGCUUCAACUACUAUAUAUGUCAAUAUGUGCUGGGUCUCUCUUUUAAGCACAAGCGUACCAUGCGUGCAUGAGUGGUGGCAGCUAACUAUACCAUUUGUAUUCUUUUAAAGCAGAUCAUUUAAGCUUAUCAAUAUUAAUUAUAGGAAACUACAUGGUACAGUUAAACCACGUUUUUUUUUUUAUACUGAAAUAUUUUAGGCCUUUACUAAGCGGUUCGUCUAGCGGUCUCUCUAACAUGAUAGUAAAAUUAAAUUCAAGUGUUCACUUUGUGUCAAUUAAUUUUCUAUUAUUGUCCACUCGGCUUUUCGUUCAAUGUUAACCCCUUUCUAGGGUUUUGCUACAAUUUUUUUGUUGAUAAGAAAGUCUAACAGUUACUGUGACAUUUUAACCUACAAAAGCUUUAUGCAUACGAGGGAGGUUGCAUCUGGUUCCAUAAAUGUCUACGCAUGGUGGCCUAUCGGGUUAAUUAUCAAACAGUUGACGUCUCUCAUCACUAAAAUCGAGCAUUUUCUUUUACAUUUUUAUUACUAACGAUUAAACUUGAAGAGCCUAUGAAAUACACGAACUCAUUACUUUUGAAGAUUCAAAGUUGGCGUUCAAGUCAUCAUAUGGACAAGUGAUUCUCUUGACAACUAGUUAGAUUACAACAAGCGCGCGAUUAGAUAUUGUGAUAAGAGGACCAUGUCCCAAUAAAAGAUAAGAAUUAAUGUUGACUAAUUCUCAUGAUUUGUUCAGGUAAAUGUGAUUAUCAAUUUAUCGAGUACGGCCACCUAGCCUAUGAUUGCGAUUAUUGACCUUUUGAUGGAUAUAUCAUAUCUUUAAAGCUCUCUGACACGUUGUGAGCACAUACAGAUAUAUAGACUAAUUCGAUGCAAUUAUUGUUAGAAAGAAACUACGAGGAUGUAAUUGAACAUGAAUUGCGAUAUCUCAACCGAUUGCAAAAUAAUGAUUGUUUGUCAAUAUAAGAUAGAACUUUAGGGUGUGCAUGAUGUGAAAGAUAAGUAUAAUCAGUAUGGUAAUUUUGUAGUAGGGACUUGACAAGAGUAUUUUUCAAGCAGUGUUUUUUUUUUUUUUAAUCAAUUAUUUGGAUUUACAUUUUAAGAAAGAUACAGGUUAAAAAUUAUCAGUACAUCACAUUUAUUUUGCCUUAUGUUCAUCCAACUGUUACAAAAUUCUAACAUAUACUUUGCACCAUAUUUCUUUUCACAUUUGUAUCAACUAACCACUUUUGCAUUAACAAU